UUAGGAUUAUAAAAGAUGCACAUUUUACAGUGGAAUGAUGGGUUCAUAGUGUUCCUCACUAAAUGGCAGGGUGGCAGACAAUGUUUGCUGUCAAUCCCCCGUUCCUGGAUAAGAGAAUGCUCAUUUUAUUCAGUUGACAGUAGGCCCUGUGCUUCAAGACCUCUGUCUAGCCCUAUGAGUGAAGCGUUAUUAGUCCCGCCUGAUUGUAAUGAUUCUAUUGUCUCUCCAGAGAUCAGUUCAGCAAUGGACUUAUGACAUGAUUCUGCUCAAUGAGCCUAAGGAGAAUAUCUGCUGAAUGGUGGAGAGAAUUAAAAAGCUUUUUCUUGCUCCCAAAUAAGGACAAAAGUUUUUUCAGGAACUUCCAUACUGUUGUCCAUGGGGGCUGCAGCAAUUUACAUUCCUACCAACAGUGUACGAGUGUUCCCUUUUCUCAACAUCCUCCCCAACACUUGUUAUCUUUGUGAUAACAGCCAUUCUAACAGGUAUGAGGUAGUAUCUCAUCGUGGUUUUACUUUGCAUUUCUCUGAUAAUUAGUGAUGUUGAGCACCUUUUCACAUAGAUGUUGGCUAUUUGCAUGUCUUCUUUGGAAAAAUGUCUAUUCGGGUCCUUUGUCCAGUUUUUAAUUGAGUUGUUUGGGGGUUCUUUGGUUAGUUUUUGCUAUUGAGUUGUACGAGCUCAGGCUCUAUUUUCAAGUAACCUGGCUAAGACAGCAUUAGGAGCAGAAAGAUAAACUGCCGUCCCAACUACUGAAGCUUUUACCUAAGUCUAACUGUGCUGCGGUGGAGGUGGAGUUCAUAUAUUGGGAGAAUGGUAACUACCGUAUGUAAUAAAUGUGGGGGAGAUGAUAAUUAUAAGAUUGUGAAACAACUUGGUUCUUUUAAAUGGUAUUGAAGACUCAGCCUCCCCUCCUCUCAAAUGAUCAAAUUUAGACAGAAGAUGCAGAGAAAGUGGG
rnacentral:lncRNA from 1 species